GAAAAUUAACUAUUCUUCCCAUACAAAAGCAGUUUACAACCCAUAGAGCUGUCUUCCUGCACGCGGGAUGGCUGGAUCAGGGUUGCCCCCAUUGUCCAAUAUUCCU
rnacentral:rRNA from 1 species